GCCCUUUUCCCUUACGAUUCCGGUGCAGAUGGGCAAAUUUGCAUCGGUGAAGACCCAAAUGAAAUUUGGCUAGCCGCUGGGGGCAGCCAGACCUUCACUUCCCAGAACCACCCAUGGCUCUACGGAGCGACAGACAGUGAAUCCUGGGUUUUCUGUGCCGAGAACCCCGAACACCGGAUACAGAUUACUUGCGACAGUUUCAGCGUUGGCUCGAAAGGCGUAACAUGUAUUGACGACUAUCUCGUUAUCUCCAACACUGACACAGA